CGGGGGCUGGCUGGUUCGUCAGGUCUCAACAUUUGCUCUGGGCCUAAGUCGUUCCAACGGGAGCUGUCCCUGCGUUGGCCCUGGCCAGUCGCACACGGCGCCCACCUGCACUGCAGGUCCCAGGGACGGUUCACGAUCAACGGCCAAGGUGGCUCCCGU
rnacentral:other from 1 species